rnacentral:rRNA from 1 species
CCUACGGGGGGCAGCAGUGGGGAAUAUUGGACAAUGGGCGAAAGCCUGAUCCAGCCAUGCCGCGUGUGUGAAGAAGGCCUUCGGGUUGUAAAGCACUUUCAGUGGGGAAGAAAGCCUUGGGGCUAAUACCCUCGAGGAAGGACAUCACCCACAGAAGAAGCACCGGCUAACUCCGUGCCAGCAGCCGCGGUAAUACGGAGGGUGCGAGCGUUAAUCGGAAUUACUGGGCGUAAAGCGCGCGUAGGCGGUCUGAUAAGCCGGUUGUGAAAGCCCCGGGCUCAACCUGGGAACGGCAUCCGGAACUGUCAGGCUAGAGUGCAGAAGAGGAAGGUAGAAUUCCCGGUGUAGCGGUGAAAUGCGUAGAGAUCGGGAGGAAUACCAGUGGCGAAGGCGGCCUUCUGGACUGACACUGACGCUGAGGUGCGAAAGCGUGGGUAGCAAACAGGAUUAGAUACCCGGGUAGUC